CUACACUAGAGGACAACAGUUGGAAACGACUGCUAAUACUCUAUACUCCUCUUUAACAUAAGUUAGAUAGGGAAAGUUUUUCGGUGUAGGAUGAGGCUAUAUUGUAUCAGCUAGUUGGUGAGGUAAUGGCUCACCAAGGCUAUGACGCAUAACUGGUCUGAGAGGAUGAUCAGUCACACUGGAACUGAGACACGGUCCAGACUCCUACGGGAGGCAGCAGUAGGGAAUAUUGCUCAAUGGGGGAAACCCUGAAGCAGCAACGCCGCGUGGAGGAUGACACUUUUCGGAGCGUAAACUCCUUUUGUUAGGGAAGAACAAUGACGGUACCUAACGAAUAAGCACCGGCUAACUCCGUGCCAGCAGCCGCGGUAAUACGGAGGGUGCAAGCGUUACUCGGAAUCACUGGGCGUAAAGGACGCGUAGGCGGAUUAUCAAGUCUCUUGUGAAAUCCUAUGGCUUAACCAUAGAACUGCUUGGGAAACUGAUAAUCUAGAGUGAGGGAGAGGCAGAUGGAAUUGGUGGUGUAGGGGUAAAAUCCGUAGAGAUCACCAGGAAUACCCAUUGCGAAGGCGAUCUGCUGGAACUCAACUGACGCUAAUGCGUGAAAGCGUGGGGAGCAAACAGGAUUAGAUACCCUGGUAGUCCACGCCCUAAACGAUGUAUACUAGUUGUUGCUAAGCUAGUCUUGGCAGUAAUGCACCUAACGGAUUAAGUAUACCGCCUGGGGAGUACGGUCGCAAGAUUAAAACUCAAAGGAAUAGACGGGGACCCGCACAAGCGGUGGAGCAUGUGGUUUAAUUCGAAGAUACGCGAAGAACCUUACCCGGACUUGAUAUCUAACAAAUCAUCUAGAGAUAGAAGAGUGUCUGCUCGCAGAAAUGUUAAGACAGGUGCUGCACGGCUGUCGUCAGCUCGUGUCGUGAGAUGUUGGGUUAAGUCCCGCAACGAGCGCAACCCACGUCAUUAGUUGCUAACAGUUCGGCUGAGCACUCUAAUGAGACUGCCUUCGUAAGGAGGAGGAAGGUGUGGACGACGUCAAGUCAUCAUGGCCCUUAUGUCCGGGGCGACA
rnacentral:rRNA from 1 species